rnacentral:rRNA from 1 species
CCUACGGGCGGCAGCAGUGGGGAAUAUUGGACAAUGGGCGAAAGCCUGAUCCAGCCAUGCCGCGUGUGUGAAGAAGGCCUUCGGGUUGUAAAGCACUUUCAGUGGGGAAGAAAGCCUUGGGGCUAAUACCCUCGAGGAAGGACAUCACCCACAGAAGAAGCACCGGCUAACUCCGUGCCAGCAGCCGCGGUAAUACGGAGGGUGCGAGCGUUAAUCGGAAUUACUGGGCGUAAAGCGCGCGUAGGCGGUCUGAUAAGCCGGUUGUGAAAGCCCCGGGCUCAACCUGGGAACGGCAUCCGGAACUGUCAGUCGAGAGUGCAGGAGAGGAAGGUAGAAUUCCCGGUGUAGCGGUGAAAUGCGUAGAGAUCGGGAGGAAUACCAGUGGCGAAGGCGGCCUUCUGGACUGACACUGACGCUGAGGUGCGAAAGCGUGGGUAGCAAACAGGAUUAGAUACCCCAGUAGUC